UACGAAGGGGGCUAGCGUUGCUCGGAAUCACUGGGCGUAAGCGCACGUAGGCGGACUCUUAAGUCGGUGGUGAAAUCCUGGAGCUCAACUCCAGAACUGCCUUCGAUACUGGAGAGUCUUGAGUCCGGGAGAGGUGAGUGGACUGCGAGUGUAGAGGUGAAAUUCGUAGAUAUUCGGCAAGAACACCAGUGGUGAAGGCG
rnacentral:rRNA from 1 species